rnacentral:rRNA from 1 species
UACGAAGGGUGCAAGCGUUAAUCGGAAUUACUGGGCGUAAAGCGUGCGUAGGUGGUUUCUUAAGUCUGCUGUGAAAGCCCCGGGCUCAACCUGGGAAUGGCGAUGGAUACUGGCUCGCUAGAGUGCGGUAGAGGAGAGUGGAAUUCCCGGUGUAGCAGUGAAAUGCGUAGAGAUCGGGAGGAACAUCAGUUGCGAAGGCGGCUCUCUGGACCAGCACUGACACUGAGGCACGAAAGCGUGGGGAGCAAACAGGGA